CUUGGUUGGGUAGCCAAUGGAUAACUAACCGGCUUUGACCUUGCUUGUUCUAUCGCAGUCUGUAUUUUCCUUCCGUUUUUACAACUUCAAUCAGAGACGAGUCAGACCGGUCUUUCGACCCUGUGCUGAUUUCGCACAUUUCGUAACGAUGAGGAGCAUUUUCUUGCUUCUUAUAAUCACUUUAGUCAGCUGCCAGGAUGAUUAUGAACUAGACUAUUCGGAGCCAGGCGUACCGACUGAAGACUGUGUGUGUGUACCCUUUUACCAGUGCGUGGAUGGUGAAAUAGUGGAUGAUGGUUCCAACAUUAUCGAUCCUCGGAAGAAACCACAGACAGACGAACUAGCUUUGG